CUGGGUCGGUCGGGCUGGGGUGCGAAGCGGGCUGGCUCGCGCCGCGGCUGGGGAGCAGUCGCUCCGUCGCCCUCCUCUCUCCGCCGCCGGAAGCCGGUGCGCGGCCGCCUCGCGGGGCUCGCGUCUGCGGCGCCUCGUGCGUCGUCGGCGUGGGUUUUCGCGGGCGGUGUCCGCCGCCGUGUGGAAGGCGGGCCGGCGGGGGGAUGUGGUCGGCGGUGGCUGGCGGCGACUCUGGACGCGCGCCGGGCCCUUCUCGCGGAUCACCUCAGCUGCGGUGCCCGUCGGGGUCCCCUUCGCGGGGGUUCCCCGGCGGGUCGCCCUGUGGCGCCUAGCAGCUGACUUAG
rnacentral:rRNA from 1 species